CGACCAGACCUAAAUGCAUUGUUCGCCAUCGCUGCACGCCAGUUGAUCGAGUGUGAACCUUAUAGGAUUUGGAAGCGAUGUCACCAACGAGUUCAAUGUGGGUAGCUUUUGUAGUCAUGCAGACAAUAAAUAUCACUAUAUUAUAGGCUUCUAUAGUUUUGUUCCCUUGGACAUCAAAAUUUAAAAGGGUCCUUCAAAAUCGUCUCCCUUGUUCAUGAAUUGUCUAGAUUGAGAUACUUGCUGUUCUGGUAAAUCUACCAUUAUUUGUACUUUGGCAGUAGCAUUCAAUUUAGCACAAUUGAAACAUCUGUGCACGUAUUUUCUCGCCAAUAGUUUCGCCUUGAUAAUCCAAAAUGUGGAGCUGUAUCAGCUUUCUUAUGAAUUAUAGUAUUAAUUAUUAUAAACGUUUUCGACUUUCUCCACGACGCGGUUUGCAACAAUAGAUUUCCACCUAUUCGUCUCUCCAGACAGCUAGGCGAUCACAAUAGAAAAACCUGUUCACAGUGUUCGAACAUCUGUGAGGUUGGUAUUCUUCACAUUACUUCUUCUCAUUUGCUUCAUCCAGUUUACUCAAAGCACCACAUAGCUCAAGACGUG